rnacentral:rRNA from 1 species
UUUAUCAGUAGGCCUCAAAUAAUGUGUGACUACCCC